rnacentral:rRNA from 1 species
UAAUGCAGUCGAACGCACAGCGAAAGGUGCUUGCACCUUUCAAGUGAGUGGCGAACGGGUGAGUAACACGUGGAUAACCUACCUCAAGGUUGGGGAUAACAUUUGGAAACAGAUGCUAAUACCGAAUAAAACUUCGUAUCGCAUGAUACAAGGUUAAAAGGCGCUACGGCGUCACCUAGAGAUGGAUCCGCGGUGCAUUAGUUAGUUGGUGGGGUAAAGGCCUACCAAGACAAUGAUGCAUAGCCGAGUUGAGAGACUGAUCGGCCACAUUGGGACUGAGACACGGCCCAAACUCCUACGGGAGGCUGCAGUAGGGAAUCUUCCACAAUGGGCGAAAGCCUGAUGGAGCAACGCCGCGUGUGUGAUGAAGGCUUUCGGGUCGUAAAGCACUGUUGUAUGGGAAGAACAGCUAGAGUAGGGAAUGACUUUAGUUUGACGGUACCAUACCAGAAAGGGACGGCUAAAUACGUGCCAGCAGCCGCGGUAAUACGUAUGUCCCGAGCGUUAUCCGGAUUUAUUGGGCGUAAAGCGAGCGCAGACGGUUGAUUAAGUCUGAUGUGAAAGCCCGGAGCUCAACUCCGGAAAGGCAUUGGAAACUGGUCAACUUGAGUGCAGUAGAGGUAAGUGGAACUCCAUGUGUAGCGGUGGAAUGCGUAGAUAUAUGGAAGAACACCAGCGGCGAAGGCGGCUUACUGGACUGUAACUGACGUUGAGGCUCGAAAGUGUGGGUAGCAAACAGGAUUAGAUACCCUGGUAGUCCACACCGUAAACGAUGAACACUAGGUGUUAGGAGGUUUCCGCCUCUUAGUGCCGAAGCUAACGCAUUAAGUGUUCCGCCUGGGGAGUACGACCGCAAGGUUGAAACUCAAAGGAAUUGAC